ACAGCUGCCAACCAGACCAGUCACUGAUGAAGAAGAAAAGUAUGAGUCUGUUUUGAAUAUCAUCAGGAGACUGUGCAACAAAGAUGCAAACCUAAACUGCACCAGUUAUCAAAACCUGUGAAAAGACAUCAUCCAUCUCCACACUCUUUCAUUUUACUUCCAAGAGAAAAAAUGCUUUCCAGAAGGUGUGGGGAUCAAUUCUACGCUGGAUUUACUGUUACAGUGUUUAUCGACA